CCUACGGGGGGCUGCAGUGAGGAAUAUUCGUCAAUGGGCGCGAGCCUGAACCAGCAAAGUCGCGUGAAGGAUGACUGCCCUACGGGUUGUAAACUUCUUUUAUAAAGGAAUAAAGUGAGGCACGUGUGCCUUUUUGUAUGUACUUUAUGAAUAAAGAUAGGCGAACUCCGUGCCAGCAGCCGCGGUAAUACGGAGGCUCCGAGCGUUAUCCGGAUUUAUUGGGUUUAAAGGGAGCGUAGAUGGGUUGUUAAGUCAGUGGUGAAAGUUUGAGGCUCAACCGUAAAAGUGCAAUUGAUACUGGCAGUCUUGAGUACAGUUGAGGUAGGCGGAAUUCGUGGUGUAGCGGUGAAAUGCUUAGAUAUCACGAAGAACUCCGAUUGCGAAGGCAGCUUACUAAACUGCCACUGACAUUGAUGCUCGAAAGUGUGGGUAUCAAACAGGAUUAGAUACCCGGGUAGUC
rnacentral:rRNA from 1 species